rnacentral:misc_RNA from 1 species
GAUUCGGCUAGCUCAGCGCGAAGAUGGGGGAGAUCACCAAUGUCACGGAGUACCAGGCCAUCGCGAAGCAGAAGCUUCCGAAGAUGAUCUACGACUACUAUGCAUCUGGGGCCGAGGACGAGUGGACUCUCCAGGAGAACAGGGAGGCCUUCGCCAGGAUCCUGUUUCGCCCACGCAUACUGAUCGACGUAUCCAAGAUUGACAUGGCCACAACAGUCCUGGGGUUCAAG